rnacentral:rRNA from 1 species
UACGGGGGGAGCAAGCGUUGUCCGGAAUUACUGGGCGUAAAGGGCGCGUAGGCGGACCUGUAAGUUAGAAGUGAAAUUCGUCGGCUUAACCGGCAAACUGCUUUUAAUACUGCAGGUCUUGAGUAAGACAGAGGAAAGCGGAAUUCCUGGUGUAGCGGUGAAAUGUGUAGAUAUCAGGAAGAACACCGGUAGCGAAGGCGGCUUUCUGGGUUUUUACUGACGCUGAAGCGCGAAAGCGUGGGGAGCAAACAGGAUUAGAUACCCCCGUA